GUGCUCACUUCAGCAGUGCAUAUACUAAAAUUGGAAUGAUACAGAAAAGAUUAGCAUGGCCCCUGCACAA
ensembl:snRNA RNU6-906P RNA, U6 small nuclear 906, pseudogene